ACUCCUACGGGAGGCAGCAGUGGGGAAUAUUGCACAAUGGGCGCAAGCCUGAUGCAGCCAUGCCGCGUGUGUGAAGAAGGCCUUCGGGUUGUAAAGCACUUUCAGUCGUGAGGAAGGUAGUGUAGUUAAUAGCUGCAUUAUUUGUACGUUAGCGACAGAAGAAGCACCGGCUAACUCCGUGCCAGCAGCCGCGGUAAUACGGAGGGUGCGAGCGUUAAUCGGAAUUACUGGGCGUAAAGCGCAUGCAGGUGGUUUGUUAAGUCAGAUGUGAAAGCCCGGGGCUCAACCUCGGAAUAGCAUUUGAAACUGGCAGACUAGAGUACUGUAGAGGGGGUAGAAUUUCAGGUGUAGCGGUGAAAUGCGUAGAGAUCUGAAGGAUACCGGUGGCGAAGGCGGCCCCUGGACAGAUACUGACACUCAGAUGCGAAAGCGUGGGAGCAAACAGGAUUAGAUACCCCUGGUAGGAUAGCG
rnacentral:rRNA from 1 species